rfam:Colwellia sp. Phe_37 scaffold_141, whole genome shotgun sequence.
AUUGACUUGUCGGAGUGCCAAAGGGCUGAGAUCGCGAAAGCGGGAUCCGUAGAACCUGAUUAGAUUAACAUCUGCGAAGGGAACAAGUGAGUAACUUUA